CUCCUCUUGGAGGAUAAAACUGUAGCCCACCGGCUCCUGGGGCAGAGUUUCCGUGCCUGCCCGCUUGCACCUCUCACAGGCAUCCUAUCUUAACAAAUCUAUUUCUUGCCUAUGACUUUGUCUCUCGCUGCAUUCCUUCUGCCCAAAGACAUGAAGAACCUGAACCUCAGUGAGUCCAGACACAGGGCCAUGACCCAGCAGCUUAUUCUCGCUAAGCUUGCAAUGAUCUUGCAGUGAUCAAUACUGACAGCCACUCCAUUACUGGACCCACCGCCGUUGAGAAGCCAAGACACUAAACAGCCACAGAACUGGUGCUGCAGCCGUGGAGUCCACCUCUGCCGGACUUUGCAGAAGCAGCCCUUGCAGAGGCAGCACCAGCCCAAGGAGCAGAGGCCGAGCGCCUGGGAUGGAGCUGAGGUCCCUCCACGGUCUCCCAGGAGGGCGCCUCUGGGGCUGGGAUUAGACUCAGUAGCCUCCCCUCCACCCCCAGGAAAAAAAAAAAAAAAAAAAACUGGAAACCUGACUGGCAGCUUCUAUGCUGAAGUGCUGAGGCAGAAUCAAACGGCGAGGACUUCCCAGAAGGUCCUAGUGAAUCAGCUGCUCAGUUUGGGACAAAUCCAGAGCAUGUGCCCACAAAGGGUAGCACGUUGCAAAUUGAGAUCUAAUGUGAGCCAUCUGGUCUCGAGAAACGGCCAAUUGGAGGGAUGGGAGCCUGGAAUCCGCCCAGAGAGCAAACUUAUCUGGGGGAAGUGAUGAGUCAGCUCUGCCCAGAGACAAAAGACUGCGAGAAAGUCCUUUGCAGCGGGCCCCACAGCAUCUCUCUUCAGAGGCGCCUGACUUGGGGGCUCCAUCUAAAGGUGACCUUCAGAUUCAAGGUUCUAAGAUGCCUGGUCCUGGGUUUCGCAUGGACCUGGGUAACUUAAACCUGCCUGACUGUCGGGGGCAGCAAGGGAUGCUGAGAAUCAUCUCACAGUCAGACAGAUGUGCCAGGCAAGACAGGACAGGAUGUGCUGGACUGGCCAGCGUUGUCCCCUGAAAUUGGGACAACUUAAGCCUGGGUCCCGGGGGACAGCUUGCUUCUGUGUCUUCUUCUCCCAGCCAUAGUCACCAUUGCCUGUUAAAAAAAAAAAGUAAAAAGCAAACCAAUUA